AUUGAACGCUGGCGGCAUGCCUUACACAUGCAAGUCGAACGGCAGCGGACCUUCGGGUGCCGGCGAGUGGCGAACGGGUGAGUAAUGUAUCGGAACGUACCAUUGAGUGGGGGAUAACGUAGCGAAAGUUACGCUAAUACCGCAUAUUCUCUCCGGAGGAAAGCAGGGGACCGCAAGGCCUUGCGCUCUUUGAGCGGCCGAUAUCAGAUUAGCUAGUUGGUGAGGUAAAGGCUCACCAAGGCGACGAUCUGUAGCGGGUCUGAGAGGAUGAUCCGCCACACUGGACAUGAGACACGGGCCAGACUCCUACGGGAGGCAGCAGUGGGGAAUUUUGGACAAUGGGGGCAACCCUGAUCCAGCCAUGCCGCGUGAGUGAAGAAGGCCUUCGGGUUGUAAAGCUCUUUCGGCCGGGAAAAAAUCGCAUGGGCUAAUACCCUGUGUGGAUGAUGGUACCGGAAUAAGAAGCACCGGCUAACUACGUGCCAGCCGCCGCCGUAA
rnacentral:rRNA from 1 species